GGCUUAGAUGGUAAAGCAUCUGCCUGCAACUCAGGAGACCUGGGUUCAAUCCCUG
rnacentral:tRNA from 1 species